rnacentral:rRNA from 1 species
AACGAACGCUGGCGGCGCGCUUAACACAUGCAAGUCGAACGAGAAGGCGUAGCAAUACGCUUGUACAGUGGCGAACGGGUGAGUAAUACGUGGGCGACCUACCCUCGAGUGGGGAAUAACCCGCCGAAAGGCGGGCUAAUGCCGCGUACGCUUCCAUCUUUAUGGAGGUGGAAGGAAAGCCGUGCCGUGGGCACGGCGCUCAAGGAUGGGCUCACGUCCUAUCAGCUUGNGGUUGGGUAACGGCCUACCAAGGCUCCGACGGGUAGCUGGUCUGAGAGGACGAUCAGCCACACUGGCACUGCGACACGGGCCAGACUCCUACGGGAGGCAGCAGUGAGGAAUAUUGCGCAAUGGGCGAAAGCCUGACGCAGCGACGCCGCGUGGGGGGAUGAAGGUCUUCGGAUUGUAAACCCCUUUUCGGGGGGAAGAUGGGACGGGCAACCGUUCGGACGGUACCUCCAGAAGCAGCCACGGCUAACUUCGUGCCAGCAGCCGCCGUAAC